rnacentral:rRNA from 1 species
GAUCCUGGCUCAGAUUGAACGCUGGCGGCAUGCCUUACACAUGCAAGUCGAACGGUAACGGGCCUUCGGGUGCCGACGAGUGGCGAACGGGUGAGUAAUGCAUCGGAACGUACCUUUCAGUGGGGGAUAACGUAGCGAAAGUUACGCUAAUACCGCAUAUUCUGUGAGCAGGAAAGCAGGGGAUCGCAAGACCUUGCGCUGAUUGAGCGGCCGAUGUCAGAUUAGCUAGUUGGUGAGGUAAAGGCUCACCAAGGCGACGAUCUGUAGCGGGUCUGAGAGGAUGAUCCGCCACACUGGAACUGAGACACGGUCCAGACUCCUACGGGAGGCAGCAGUGGGGAAUUUUGGACAAUGGGGGCAACCCUGAUCCAGCCAUGCCGCGUGAGUGAAGAAGGCCUUCGGGUUGUAAAGCUCUUUCGGCCGGGAAGAAAUCGCAUGGGUUAAUACCCUGUGCGGAUGACGGUACCGGCGUAAGAAGCACCGGCUAACUACGUG